rnacentral:rRNA from 1 species
CAAAAACAUGUCCUUUAUGGUUUUAUUUAAGGUUUAACCUGCCCAAUGAUUUUUAUUGAAUGGCCGCGGUAUAUUAACUGUGCUAAGGUAGCAUAAUCAAUUGUCUUUUAAUUAAGGGCUAGAAUGAAUGGUUGGACGAGAUAAAAACUUUCUUUGUUUUAAAGUUUGAAUUUAAUUUUUUAGUCAAAAAGCUGAAAUGUUUUUGUUGGACGAGAAGACCCUGUAGAUCUUUAUAUUUUUUUCUUUGAAUUAUUUUGGUUGGUUAAUUAAGUUGAUAGAAUGAAGUAUUUUGUUGGGGUGACAACAGAAUUUAUUUAACUUCUGUUUAUUUAAUUCAUUUAUUUAUGAUUGUUUGAUCCUUUUUUAAUGAUUAAAAGACUAAGUUACCUUAGGGAUAACAGCGUAAUUUUGUUGGAGAGUUCAUAUCGAU